rnacentral:rRNA from 1 species
CAUGCAGUCGACGGCAGCACGGGAGCUUGCUCCUGGUGGCGAGUGGCGAACGGGUGAGUAAUAUAUCGGAACGUGCCCUAGAGUGGGGGAUAACUAGUCGAAAGAUUAGCUAAUACCGCAUACGAUCUACGGAUGAAAGUGGGGGAUCGCAAGACCUCAUGCUCAUGGAGCGGCCGAUAUCUGAUUAGCUAGUUGGUGGGGUAAAAGCUCACCAAGGCGACGAUCAGUAGCUGGUCUGAGAGGACGACCAGCCACACUGGAACUGAGACACGGUCCAGACUCCUACGGGAGGCAGCAGUGGGGAAUUUUGGACAAUGGGCGCAAGCCUGAUCCAGCAAUGCCGCGUGAGUGAAGAAGGCCUUCGGGUUGUAAAGCUCUUUUGUCAGGGAAGAAACGGUCUUGGUUAAUACCUGGGGCUAAUGACGGUACCUGAAGAAUAAGCACCGGCUAACUACGUGCCAGCAGCCGCGGUAAUACGUAGGGUGCAAGCGUUAAUCGGAAUUACUGGGCGUAAAGCGUGCGCAGGCGGUUAUACAAGACAGAUGUGAAAUCCCCGGGCUCAACCUGGGAAUUGCAUUUGUGACUGUAUGGCUAGAGUGUGUCAGAGGGGGGUAGAAUUCCACGUGUAGCAGUGAAAUGCGUAGAUAUGUGGAGGAAUACCGAUGGCGAAGGCAGCCCCCUGGGAUAACACUGACGCUCAUGCACGAAAGCGUGGGGAGCAAACAGGAUUAGAUACCCUGGUAGUCCACGCCCUAAACGAUGUCUACUAGUUGUCGGGUCUUAAUUGACUUGGUAACGCAGCUAACGCGUGAAGUAGACCGCCUGG